CAGCUCCGGCUCCAUGUAGAACCGCGCCCGGAACGCGGCCAGAUGCGCGUAAUAUGCAGGUGGGACUGUUGGAGCAGCAAAGACAAAGACACCACGGAUCAGAUUUGUGACAUAGAUCAGACAGUUCUUAGAAGAUCCAAGUGUGAAGAGCAAGAGACAAAACAUAGGCAUGCCGUACGUGUAGCAAAGGUUGUUUGUCAACGUCUGCAUUUCGUCUGCUGAGAAGUUGUUCUCAUCCCAGAGGACAUGGUAGUGAGCUGGCCUACUUGUUCCCUGGUGAGAGAACUCACACAUCAGUCAUUUCGUCAAUCACAAGAGGGUGGAGAAUCUGGGGUAAAUAUUCCCAUACUUCUAGUACAGCACUUUUGCAGGUACCUAAGCGCAGUGAGAGCUUUGUUGAAAAGAGAAUACCAAGUCUAUUCAAAUGCUUGACCACAAAGGCACGGGACCAGAGCAACGACAAAUUCAGUGUAUGUCAGCCUUCAGCAAGGACCAGUACAAUA